rnacentral:rRNA from 1 species
UACGGGGGGGGCAAGCGUUGUUCGGAAUUACUGGGCGUAAAGGGCUCGUAGGUGGCCAACUAAGUCAGACGUGAAAUCCCUCGGCUUAACCGGGGAACUGCGUCUGAUACUGGAUGGCUUGAGUUCGGGAGAGGGAUGCGGAAUUCCAGGUGUAGCGGUGAAAUGCGUAGAUAUUGGGAGGAACACCAGUGGCGAAGGCGGCUCACUGGACCGGUACUGACGCUGAUGCGCGAAAGCGUGGGGAGCAAACAGG